AGGUCGGACUGCCMAUGAUAUAAAUUUAAUGGCCGCGGUAAUUUGACCGUGCAAAGGUAGCAUAAUCAAUAGUUUUUUAAUUAAAAGCUUGAAUGAAAGGUUUGAUGAAAAAAUAACUGUCUCUAUUUAGAUUUAUUAGAAAUUUAUUUUUAAGUGAAAAAGCUUAAAUAAUUAUAGAAGAACGAGAAGACCCUAUAGAGUUUUAUAGUUAGUAGGGAGAAUUGUAUUUAAGGAUUAUAAGAUUUUUUUUAUAUAACUAUUUAAUUGGGGUGAUUAAAAAAUUAAAUUAACUUUUUUUAGAGAAAUCCACUAAUUUGUGAAUUAUUGAUCCUUUUUUUAAGAUAAUAAGAUUUAAUUACCUUAGGGAUAACAGCGUAAUUUUUUUUGAGAGUUCUUAUUAAAAAAAAAGUUUGCGACCUCGAUGUUGGAUUAAAGUAAAUUAUUGGUGUARAAGCUAAUAAAUGAGGUCUGUUCGACCUUUAAAACUUUACAUGAUCUGAGUUUARACCGGUGUAAGCCAGGU
rnacentral:rRNA from 1 species